GAAAAGAAAAUAGUUCAGCACUAAGUCACUUUGUCUUUAUGGCAAAUGUGAGAUGCAGUGUAUGGAAUGUCAAAUUUCUAGUAUGAGAAAUUAACGAUUUAAGUCCUUCUUAAAUGAGGCCAUUUACCCAUAGAGGGUGCCAGGCCCGUAUAACGUUAAUGAUUACUAGAUGGCAUUUCCAAAGAGUCGUGUUGCUUGAUAGUGCAGCACUAAGUGGGUGGUAAACUCCAUCUAAAACUAAAUAUAACCAUGAGACCGAUAGUAAACAAGUACCGUGAGGGAAAGUUGAAAAGAACUCUGAAUAGAGAGUUAAAUAGUACGUGAAACUGCUUAGAGGUUAAGCCCGAUGAACCUGAAUAUCCGUUAUAGAAAAUUCAUCAUUACGAUUUUAAUAUUUAUAAUAUUAUAAUAAUGGUGUGCAUUUUUUCUAUAAAAGGACAUUGUAAUCUAUUAACAUAAAAGUAUUUAUCAUAAGAUCAUUAGCAAGAGUUUAUUCAAAUUAUAUUGCUUGCAAUUUAACAUAGAAUAAAUGCUUUUGAUUUGAUAAAGUGUUGAUAGAUUUAUUAUAUAUAGUGCUUAAAUAUUUUAUAUUGUAUAAUAUCAUAUUAAUUAUUAAUUUUUAUGAUUAUUAUAUGCACUUAUAUGAUUAACAAUGCGAAAGAUUCAGGAUACCUUCGGGACCCGUCUUGAAACACGGACCAAGGAGUCUAACAUAUUUGCAAGUUAUUGGGAAUAAAAACCUAAUAGCGAAAUUAACAUAACUUAAAAAUAAUGGGAUUAGUUUUUAACCUAUUUUAUAGAUUAUUAAUUCAAUCCCGGGGCGUUCUAUACAGUUAUGUAUAAUGAUAUUUAUAUUAUUUAUACCUCUAACUAGAGCGUACCUUGAGCAUAUAUGCUGUGACCCGAAAGAUGGUGAACUAUACUUGAUCAGGUUGAAGUCAGGGGAAACCCUGAUGGAAGACCGAAACAGUUCUGACGUGCAAAUCGAUUGUCAGAAUUGAGUAUAGGGGCGAAAGACCAAUCGA
rnacentral:rRNA from 1 species